rnacentral:rRNA from 1 species
GACGAACGCUGGCGGCGUGUUUAACACAUGCAAGCCGAACGAAGUGGCGAACGGGUGAGUAACGCGUAAUCAACCUGCCCUUCAGAGGGGGACAACAGUUGGAAACGACUGCUAAUACCGCAUACUGAAGGAGGGGAUUGCGUCUGAUUAGCUAGUUGGAGGGGUAACGGCCCACCAAGGCAAUGAUCAGUAGCCGGACUGAGAUGAGGAACCGCAACAUUGGGACUGAGACACGUCCCAGACUUCUACGGGAGGCAGCAGUGGGGAAGCUUCCGCAAUGGACGAAAGUCUGACGGAGCAACGCCGCGGGAGUGAUGACGGCCUUCGGGUUGUAAAGCUCUGUUAAUCAGGACGCGGUACCGGAAUAGAAAGCCACGGCUAACUACGUGCCAGCAGCCGCGGUAAUAA